GACCGAGCGCAGCUUCUUGCAUUUUCCUGUGCACUGGUUCUUCUUUGACUACCGUCGAACAUGCAAAAUAUUAUUCCCAAGAAACUUCCAAAUUAAUGACGGCAAAAACUUUCAAGUUUCCCGCCAAAGCCAAGUCCGCCGCGUUUCUCGCUGCCGCCGCUGCCAUUUCCUUGCCAGCCACCAACUACGUUCUCACUCUUCCCUCCUCCGAUUCUUUUCCCGGCAAAAUCAGCACAGUGAUCCAUGGCAUCUUACGCUCCUCUCGCGCCAUCACCACCGUUGCUUGCACGGUUACUGACUACAAGUACUCUUUGCGCGGGCUUCAAAAGGACUCCAACGAGUAUCGUCACGAGAUGUCCGAGGUUCAUCUACGCUCAGCCAAGAGGAUUUUGAAGUUAUGCGAAGCCAAUAAAGGAUUUUAUGUGAAAGCUGGACAGUUUGUUUCUGCCCAGGGUGUGAUUCCCAGGGAAUACUCGUCAACUUUGUCAGCAUUACAGGAUCAGGUUGCUCCUUGUUCUUUUAAAGCAAUAAAAGAAGUAUUAAUGCAUAACCUGGGACCGGAGUUCUCUGAGAUGUUUUUGUCAGUCAGUGAACAACCAAUAGCUGCUGCAUCUAUUUCUCAAGUUCACCGUGCAGUGUUGAAAAGCGGUCAUGAAGUUGCAAUUAAGGUACAAUAUCCUGAUUUAGAGCAGCAGAUGGAUUUUGACACAAGAACCAUGUCUUUCCUAUCCAAAACUAUUGCACAUUUUUUUCCUGAAUACAGAUUUGAAUGGUUGACAUUGGGGUUUACGAAGGCCAUAGCAUUAGAACUGGAUUUUGUUCAGGAGGCAAGAAAUUCUGAGAGAGCUGCUAGAAACUUCAGAAACAACAAAUUCAUCAGGGUUCCACAUGUAUUCUGGGAGUUGACUACCAGACAAGUACUGACCAUGCAGUUUUGUACAGGACAGAAGAUUGAUGAUCUAGACUUUCUGAAGCAGAUUGGGGCUGAUCCUGAGAAGGUUGCAAGUGCAUUGGUAAAACUUUUCGCUGAAAUGAUAUUUGUGCAUGGUUACAUACAUGGUGAUCCACACCCUGGAAAUAUCCUAGUUUCCCCUGAUAGUUGUAAUGGCUUCUCUUUGGUUCUUCUCGACCAUGGAAUCUACUGGGAAUUGAAUGAAGAAUUUAGGAAGGACUUUUGUCAUUUAUGGGAGGCUUUGCUUCUGCAAGACUCGAAGAAAAUAAUGUGUCUUGGUGAGAGAUUUGGCAUCGGGAAGUAUUCUAAAUACCUGCCUAUCAUUUUCACCGGAAGAAACAUUGAAAGUAAAUCUGGUCUUGCCAGCGGAAUGUCAAUUGAGGAGAAAGAAAGUAUGAAAAAGGAGCUGAAGUCUCUUUUAUUUGAGGACUUAUCUCCAUUCAUGGAGUCUCUGCCACCUGAGUUUCUCUCUAUUAUGCGUGUAGACGGGCUUUUAAGGUCUAUUGUCAGAAAGUUAGGCGCCUCGCGAUGGAUCAGGUGGCUAGCUUAUGCCAAAUAUGGGAUGUACGGUAUCUAUAAAGAGUCGGAUGCUGAAUCAGAAUUGGCAUGUGUUUUUUCCUCGUUUUUUUCAUGCUUCCAGAUUUUGCCGUGAAAGCUGUGUUCUUCAGAUUCAUAUCAGAGUUAAAAUAUUAUGAGAUCUUAAUAAAGCUCGCCGUUGGGGAGAUUGAGGCUAGGUUUGUAGUGCCUCUGUUGCAGAAGGUGAAGAACGCACUAAUUUACUUGUAUGGCGAAGUCGGUAGUGACUUUUGGGCCUUCCUGAUGCACUGUUUUUUUCUCUUUUCGAUACGUCAUGGUGCAAUUUGUUAAACUGAGUUUUAUACCAUAAAGUUUAGGAGUCUGGGCUAGGGCCCAAAAAGAAUAAGGCCAAUCCAACCCUUUUUCUUA